CCUUAGAUCGCUGCGGCGUUGAUUGAGCACCGGAGUACCGCGGAAGUGCUGUUGACCUGUGUGCCAUCAGACAAUAAUUUUACAGAUAUAUCCUAUCUGACAGCGUGCGACUAGUGUCGUGUGGUCAAGAUUCUGAGCUUCAAGACAUAUUAGUGAUGGCCUCAGGGGCCUUGGUGACUAAGAAUGACUUUCGGCGCAAGGUUUGGGACCACUUAGAACAUAAUGACCUGGCUGAAUUUCCAAGACCUGUUCACAAUAGGAUACCGAACUUCAAGGGCGCGCCGGCGGCCGCCCACAGCUGGCCGCCCUCAGCGAAUCAAGGAGGC